rnacentral:rRNA from 1 species
AUUGAACGCUGGCGGCAGGCCUAACACAUGCAAGUCGAACGAGUGGCGGACGGGUGAGUAAUGUCUGGGAAACUGCCUGAUGGAGGGGGAAACAUACUGGAAACGGUAGCUAAUACAGCAUACCAUCAGAUGUGCCCAGAUGGGAGUAGCUAGUAGGUGGGGUAAAGGCUCACCGAGGCGACGAUCCCUAGCGGGUCUGAGAGGAUGACCAGCCACCCGGGAACUGAGACACGGUCCAGACUCCUACGGGAGGCAGCAGUGGGGAAUUUUGCACAAUGGGCGCAAGCCGGAUGCAGCCAUCCCGCGUGUAGGAAGAAGGCCUUCGGGUUUUAAAGUACUUUCAGCGGGGAGGCGUUACCCGCAGAAGAAGCACCGGCUAACUCCGUGCCAGCAGCCGCGGUAAUAC